UACAGAGGUGGCAAGCGUUGUUCGGAAUUACUGGGCGUAAAGGGCGCGUAGGCGGUUCGAUAAGUCCCGUGUGAAAUCCCUCGGCUCAACUGAGGAACUGCACGGGAAACUGACGGGCUUGAGUUCGGGAGAGGGAAGCGGAAUUCCGGGUGUAGCGGUGAAAUUCGUAGAUAUUAGGAAGAACACCAGUGGCGAAGGCGGCUCACUGGCCCGGUACUGACGCUGAGGCGCGAAAGCGUGGGGAGCGAACAGG
rnacentral:rRNA from 1 species